rnacentral:rRNA from 1 species
GACGGAGGAUGCAAGUGUUAUCCGGAAUCACUGGGCGUAAAGCGUCUGUAGGUGGUUUAAUAAGUCAACUGUUAAAUCUUGAGGCUCAACUUCAAAAUCGCAGUCGAAACUAUUAGACUAGAGUAUAGUAGGGGUAAAGGGAAUUUCCAGUGGAGCGGUGAAAUGCGUAGAGAUUGGAAAGAACACCAAUGGCGAAAGCACUUUACUGGGCUAUUACUGACACUGAGAGACGAAAGCUAGGGGAGCGAAUGGG